UACGUAGGUGGCAAGCGUUGUCCGGAUUUACUGGGCGUAAAGCGAACGCAGGCGGACCUUUAAGUAGGAAGUGAAAGGUUGGAGCUCAACUCUAACACUGCUCCCUAUACUGGAGGUCCUGAGUGCCGGAGAGGAAGACGGAACAAGUUGUGUAGCGGUGAAAUGCGUUGAUAUAACUUGGAACACCAAUGGCGAAAGCAGUCUUCUGGACGGAUACUGACGCUCAGGUUCGAAAGCCAAGGUAGCAAACAGG
rnacentral:rRNA from 1 species